rnacentral:lncRNA from 1 species
CCACAAGAGGUAGAGCCCUCCAGACUUGCCAAUAGGAUCAACCACAAAGUAAUUAUCGAAACCCAAUUAAUUUUUCAAAAAGACAAAAUAACUUUCAUUGUACCUGGUCUCACUCAAGAAAACAAUCUCUAGACCUUGGACGACGAUCAAACGGUGUAGUGCAUGAACUGCCCUAGGUGUUUCCAAGCCCUUGGCUAUUCUAACUCAGGAUGAUCAUUGCAAUCGGGAAGACUGAG